UCCCUGGUGGCUCAGAGGUUAAAGCGUCUGCCUGCAAUGCAGGAGACCAGAAUUCGAUCCCUGGGUAGGGAA
rnacentral:tRNA from 1 species